rnacentral:rRNA from 1 species
AGUGAACGCUGGCGGUAGGCCUAACACAUGCCAGUCGAACGGCAGCACAGGACAGCUUGCUCUCUGCGUGGCGAGUGGCGGACGGGUGAGGUAUACAUCGGAAUCUGCCCAGUCGAGGAGGAUAACGAAGGGACACUUAUGCUACUAACGCACACGACCUUCGAGUGAAAGAGGGGGAUAGCACGCCCUAUCGCGUUUGGAUAGGUCGAUGUCGGAUUAGCUAGUUGGCGGGGUAAUGGCCCACCAAGGCGACGAUCCGUAACUGGUCUGAGAGGAUGAUCAGCCACACUGGAACUGAGACACGGUCCAGACUCCUACGGGAGGCAGCAGUGGGGAAUAUUGGACAAUGGGCGCAAGCCUGAUCCAGCCAUGCCGCGUGGGUGAAGAAGGACUUCGGGUUGUAAAGCCCUUUAGUUUGGAAAGAAAGCCUGCAGGCUAAUACCCUGGGAGUAUGACGUUACCCAAAGAAUAAGCACCGGCUAACUUCGUG